rnacentral:misc_RNA from 1 species
GGUUAGGGUUAUUUUUUUUUUUUUUUGUUAAACGAAACUGUCGUUAAACGUACUUCUUAAGUUAGAUAGGUUAGGGUUAUUUUUUUUUUUUGUUAAACGAAACUGUCGUUAAACGUACUUCUUAAGUUAGAUAGGUUAGGGUUAUUUUUUUUUUUUUUUUGUUAAACGAAACUGUCGAUAAAUGUUUAAUUAAUUUUAUAUAUAAUAUAACGGGUGUUUUUUUAAGCCCGAUAGAACUUGAAAUUAUAAAAAAUAACACAAAAAAUUAAAUUGUAAUCAAAAUUUUUUUUUUAUUCGAAAGAUCAAUACGUGACAUUAACAUUUGAAAAUGAUUUCGGGCAUAUGGGCACCGCGGCUGUUCUUGAC